UCUGGAUUUUUUAUGACAUCUCCUUAAUCGAGUCAUUAUAUUUUUGUCAUCGGGAUAUGUUUUUGAUGUUUGGAAUAUAGAUGCAUCUCACAAGCUACACCAGGAUCACUGCAAUAACAUAUGACGUUUAUCUUUGUCCUCAGGUUCAAAACAGAAAGACGAACGAAAUAAAACAAGAGGACACACCCAUCACGAUAUAGUUCUCUUAAAAAGGCGGAAUAUAACAUUAAAUAGCAACAAAGGAG
rnacentral:lncRNA from 1 species